GCGGAGGAGGCCCCAGUGCCACAGCCCAGGGCCCCCGAGAGCUCUGGGAGCCCGGGGCAAAUGCUAGAAAUUUGCUUAGAACGUCCGGGUCCCACGGAAGGCGCCCUUGCCGCCCUCUCUCGGGUCGUAGCUCCCUGACGCUGGGGCGCAACCCCUUCGCUCCUCCUCCCCGCUGGCCGCGGCCGGGCUUCCCCAGCUCUUGCUGCUUCGGGCCUGUGACUUCUGCAACCCCGGGCUGGGGGCCGCGGGGUCUCAGGGCCGGUGACGCCGCACUGGGAGCCGCCCCAAAGAGGUUACUCACCUCCCUCGUCCCGCACAUUAUUCUGACCCAAGAGCCUCCACCCCACACGGGAUUUUGCGCGUCGUCCACGCCCGGCCGGCGGCCUUUGCUGCUCCCAGCCCUGCGCGGCUUUGGUCCCAGCCUCGGUGGCCCCUGUGCCAAACCGGGGACAGGCGGAAGGGAGUCUCCUAGGGACCCUAAGUAGCCUGGGGCCAACAACCCCUUUCCUCUCUGCUCUCCCCUCAAAACAAGUUUCAGGAUCUUGCAGGCCUCGCGGCGUCGUUCUUCGUUGUGGCGGCCUGUGGCUCUUUGAAAAACACGACGAGGCCUGCAAAAUGCGUUUUUCUUUUUUUCCUUUACGCAUGUAACCACGGUCCUGCAUCGUGAAACGGUACGCGCGUCGGUGGCAAAAGAAAAACAGCAGUGGCUGCAAAGCUAAGGGCCCUCGCUUUCAGAGGAGAGAAUUUUCUUUCUCCAUGCGGGUGGAAAGUGGCCUCUGCGGGUCCAACCCCACUUCUUCUUGGGCCCGUGCGCUCCGGCUGCGCCGCAGGGACCGCGGACAGCUUCGCCAAGGCACUGCCUGCCCGCCCGGCUCCGGGUCCCCGCUCCCACUCCCAGCCGCGUGGCCCAACCUCUCCUGGGCUUCACUGCAAAUCACCCCUUCCUCUCCCGCCUCCUAAGUCUGUCGAGCAGACCUAGGGGCCGGCUACAGUUGGGAGGGCAACGGGAAAGAUCAAGCCACAAUCAUUCCGAAUUAUCGCCCCAGACACCUCCCUAGACUCUGGGGAACGAACGCGUGCUGAGCCUCCCCGCCGCUUUGGAGACGGGGCUAGAUUUUCGUUGCCUCCGGCUCUCGACAGGUGCAAAACAAUGAAUUCCAAGCCUCGGAAGCAAAGAAGCUUAGGAUCCGACGGUGGCCGCAAGAUCUCAUCAUGGAUCUGACCCCUGCUCAGCGCGCGCCAUUUCGUCGUUGCCAAACGAAAUCAAGCCCCGCGUGCGCUCCAGGGGCGAAGGACUCUGGACUCACCCCGACCACCGGGAGAGCUGGCCCCUACCCACCUCGGGACCUCACAGCACGCCCUCAGGCCGUGUCGAAAGGAAGGACGGCAAAGGUCCCUUACUGAACCUUUUAAGAGAGCCUGCGCCUGGCAGUUGUCGAUUGCGGACCCAGGCCCGCGCGCCCUCGGACGCGCUGGCACGAGCAGCAGAACUAGAGGAAAGCGAGUGAUCCAGCCUGGGCGCUCCCACCUCCGGGAACGUCUCCGAGAAGGCGCAGCGCGUCGUGGCCAGUGAGAAGGGCUGAAUAUCACCUGUGAGCCUGCCCCUGCUCCCAAGAACACCCUUUGGACACCUGUGGGCUGAAAUUUAGCAUCAUAUUCCAUGGCGAUUUUCCACCAGUGGAAAUCACAGGUGUUCUCUGGUAUCACAGCGGGGUCAGGGAUGACCUGAAAUAUUGUUCAUGCUCAUCACAACUGCAUGGCCCACCGCGGGGUCUUGUCACUCAGUGAGUUCUUGAAGAGGCACAGACAAAUGGAGUUCAACAAAUGGAAAACAACUGCCUUUAAUUAGCUCCGAGGACUACAAAGGGAACAACGUUAUAAUAGCAGCAACUCCAAGGAAGCAGCCACAGCUCUCAGCUCUCAGACCUGGGGCUGCCGCUCAUCAUCAGCUACAGCUAGGUUUGAUGGGAGUGCCCCCAUUUCAGGGGACAGCAGGCCCCCUUCACUCCCCGACUCAGUCCCCAUCUGCAGCAGCACAGCCUUCCUUGGCCUCACCAGGGAAGAAGAACAGGCCCCGCUCUCAGACAAGCCUUCCCAGAAGCCUGAGGACUCAAACACCCAAAUGUGUCUGGGUCCCUGCCCCGAGCCGGCCACCCAGGCAGCAGCCCUGAAUCACUCGGUCAGCCAGCGGCAGGGCAGGCCAAUGGGCUGGAGGGUAGGCAGGCAGGCAGACCCACCUCUGCAUCUCUGCUGACUGCCUCGGCUGAGGAAAGGCAGCACCAGCCCCCAACCCUGAAGUUCUAGAUCUCAUGCAGCCUCUCUGUUCUGGAACCAUCCAGAGGCACUGCCCUUAUACAUGGUCCACCCCCAGGCUCAGACAAUGAGAAUUCCACAAGCAGAGGGGACUCUAUUUGGGGCACAGAGAGGUUAAGUAACUCCCCUCCUAAGGUCUCUCAGCAAGGAAGCCACUGAGCCGUGGGACUUGAGCUCAGGGACUCUUGAUCCCCAGUCUCAGGUGUCACAGCCCCAUCUGGGCUCCUGCUAGGGAGGAGGAAGGCAGCAGGGGGUGUCUGAGGCCAGGGUGCAUCAGCCCUAAAUGCCAGACAGAGGCAGGAGAAGUCUCCCCAUGAGUCCCAGCCCCAUUAGAGGCUCCAGGUCGGGGAUCCCAGACCCCCUAUCCUUGCUGGGAGACACAACCCAGAACUCUGCAUCCCUGCAGCCACCAAAAAAGGCAAAAGCUGCCCAGAAACACUUUCUCCUCUUCCGUGGCCAAAUCCACGAACUUUCUCGAGGUCUGUCCCCCUGCCCCGUGCAGGUCCAGCUUCAGUGCAGCCCAGCUCUGUGCAGUUUUCCACAAAAGCCUGUGGCUUCCUUCUCCUCCCUCUGCUUCUGAUACCCCAGGAGUUACACACAAAAUGUUGGCGGUGGUCUCCAGGAAGACCCCUGCAUCCCACAGCUCUCCCCAGAAGUUGCCAGCAGUGACCUCCUGAGCCCAGGUGGGGAGUCCCAGGCAGGACAGGGGCUGGGGCUGCAGGCCCUGGGGCCCUGUUAGUGAAGCAGCAAGCCGAGGGUCCCUGAGAGUUUCCCUUGGCCCCUCUGAGGGCUGCCCUUUGAGGUCUUGAGGUCUUGGAGUAUCCAUCGCCCCCACGGCUUACUGUCCCCACCAGCGGAGGAUGAAAGUGCCACAGCGAUGUUCCACGCCAAGAGACCACAGAGACCACCAACCCCUCUUCCCACCUCAGGCUUUCAGAGGCCAGCGGAUUUAGGCGGACAGGCUGUGCGCUUGAGGGCAGCCAGGGCGGUCAGUGGAGGGACGUGGUCCGGGGCCUGGCCACAGCUCCCCACCCAGGGCCCUGGGCUAUUGUUACUCACCGCGGAUGAAGGUCGGCGAGUAGGUCGGGAAGGAGUCGAAGAUGCUGUUCGAUGCCAUGCCCCGCUCUGAAGAAGGCGAGAAUUUUCAGCCCUUCAGGGGGUUGGGUUGGGAUUCACUUGGUUGGCUGUUGUUUUAUUUUUUUUUCCUCUAGCUACUUUUGAAAAUAAAAGGGGGGGGUGUUGCUUUUUGUUGUU
rnacentral:lncRNA from 1 species